rnacentral:rRNA from 1 species
UUAGACGGCCAUAGCGACUUGGUCACACCUGAUCCCUUUCCGAACUCAGAAGUUAAGCUUGUCGCGUUCGUGUCUGUACUGUCUGUGAUGGGAACACACGGAGCUGUCUACC